rnacentral:rRNA from 1 species
GGUAGCUUGCUACCAGGCGUCGAGCGGCGGACGGGUGAGUAAUGCUUAGGAAUCUACCGAGUAGUGGGGGAUAGCCAUUGGAAACGAUGAUUAAUACCGCAUAUAUCCUACGGGGGAAAGCAGGGGACCUUCGGGCCUUGCGCUAUUCGAUGAGCCUGAGUGAGAUUAGCUAGUUGGUGGGGUAAAGGCCUACCAAGGCGACGAUCUCUAGCUGGUCUGAGAGGAUGAUCAGCCACACUGGGACUGAGACACGGCCCAGACUCCUACGGGAGGCAGCAGUGGGGAAUAUUGCACAAUGGACGAAAGUCUGAUGCAGCCAUGCCGCGUGUGUGAAGAAGGCCUUCGGGUUGUAAAGCACUUUCAGCGAGGAGGAAAGGUUAGUCGUUAAUAUCGGCUAGCUGUGACGUUACUCGCAGAAGAAGCACCGGCUAAUUUAGUGCCAGCAGCCGCGGUAAUACUAAAGGUGCAAGCGUUAAUCGGAAUUACUGGGCGUAAAGCGCGCGUAGGUGGUUUGUUAAGUUGGAUGUGAAAGCCCAGGGCUCAACCUUGGAACUGCAUUCAAAACUGACUCACUAGAGUACGAGAGAGGUUAGUGGAAUUUCCUGUGUAGCGGUGAAAUGCGUAGAGAUGGGAAGGAACACCAGUGGCGAAGGCGACUGACUGGCUCGAUACUGACACUGAGGUGCGAAAGCGUG